rnacentral:rRNA from 1 species
GACGUAGGGCGCGAGCGUUGUCCGGAUUUAUUGGGCGUAAAGAGCUCGUAGGCGGCUUGUUGCGUCGGCUGUGAAAACCCGUGGCUUAACUGCGGGCUUGCAGCUGAUACGGGCGGGCUAGAGUUCGGUAGGGGAGACUGGAAUUUCUGGUGUAGCGGUGAAAUGCGCAGAUAUCAGGAGGAACACCGGUGGCGAAGGCGGGUCUCUGGACAGCUCCUGACGCUGAGGCGCGAAGGCUAGGGGAGCAAACGGG